GACGAACGCUGGCGGCGUGCUUAACACAUGCAAGUCGAACGCUGAAGCUCAGCUUUUGUUGGGUGGAUGAGUGGCGAACGGGUGAGUAACACGUGAGUAACCUGCCUCCUUCUUUGGGAUAACGCCCGGAAACGGGUGCUAAUACUGGAUAUUCACUGGUCUUCGCAUGGGGGUUGGUGGAAAGGGUUUUUCUGGUGGGGGAUGGGCUCGCGGCCUAUCAGCUUGUUGGUGGGGUGAUGGCCUACCAAGGCUUUGACGGGUAGCCGGCCUGAGAGGGUGACCGGUCACAUUGGGACUGAGAUACGGCCCAGACUCCUACGGGGGGCAGCAGUGGGGAAUAUUGCACAAUGGGCGCAAGCCUGAUGCAGCGACGCCGCGUGAGGGAUGGAGGCCUUCGGGUUGUGAACCUCUUUCGCUCAUGGUCAAGCCGCAACAAUGGUUGUGGUGAGGGUAGUGGGUAAAGAAGCGCCGGCUAACUACGUG
rnacentral:rRNA from 1 species